GCCCACGUAACUUAAUUGGAUAAAGUCUAAAAUUCGCAGUUUAGAGAUGUGGGUUCAAUUCCCGCCGUGGGCA
rnacentral:tRNA from 1 species